CUACGGGGUGCACCAGUGGGGAAUAUUGCACAAUGGGCGCAAGCCUGAUGCAGCCAUGCCGCGUGUAUGAAGAAGGCCUUCGGGUUGUAAAGUACUUUCAGCGGGGAGGAAGGGAGUAAAGUUAAUACCUUUGCUCAUUGACGUUACCCGCAGAAGAAGCACCGGCUAACUCCGUGCCAGCAGCCGCGGUAAUACGGAGAGUGCAAGCGUUAAUCGGAAUUACUGGGCGUAAAGCGCACGCAGGCGGUUUGUUAAGUCAGAUGUGAAAGCCCCGGGCUCAACCUGGGAACUGCAGCUGAUACUGGCAAGCUUGAGUCUCGUAGAGGGGGGUAGAAUUCCAGGUGUAGCGGUGAAAUGCGUAGAGAUCUGGAGGAAUACCGGUGGCGAAGGCGGCCCCCUGGACGAAGACUGACGCUCAGGUGCGAAAGCGUGGGGAGCAAACAGGAUUAGAUACCCCUGUAGUC
rnacentral:rRNA from 1 species